rnacentral:misc_RNA from 1 species
GAAUGUCAGGUCCUUCAUUGGCAAUUCGAUGGGUGGUCUCAGAGGUGGUGCCAAUCUCGCUUCUUGGGUCGUCGCUGGAACCGUCGCUUACUUCCUUUGGGUCAAGCCCUCCCAAGACCUCAAACGGGAACAGCAGGAAAGGGCUGCUCUUGCAGCUGUGGAUCCUCAUCGAUAUAUUGAGAAGAGGAAACCUAUUCCUGAUCCCCAGGAAACUGGUUUGAUAUACGGCAACAAGAAUACGCCUCGAAAACCCGAGGAAUAAGCUAUGAAGGAAGGUGAAAACUUUGGAGAAAUGUGACAGAUAGUGCUUUUCACCGAGGUAAAGAAGGGGGUCAGUAAGUAAUGUCGCUAGAAGAAGCUAUAGCCUAAAACUGUGAAGAUUAGAAGAUGAUACAUGAGCAAGUUUGUGUAGUUCAGUAAAGAGGUGUGGCCAAAUG